rnacentral:sRNA from 4 species
AUAUCUCUCUGUACGGGAAGGAUGAGAAGCUUCGACUAAGGUUCGAUUCGAGCGCAGCGAGAAAGCGUUGCCGCAGGCAACGACCCGAAGGGCGAAGCGCG